rnacentral:rRNA from 1 species
UGAACGCUGGCGGCAGGCCUAACACAUGCAAGUCGAGCGGAUGACAGGAGCUUGCUCCUGGAUUCAGCGGCGGACGGGUGAGUAAUGCCUAGGAAUCUGCCUGGUAGUGGGGGACAACGUUUCGAAAGGAACGCUAAUACCGCAUACGUCCUACGGGAGAAAGCAGGGGACCUUCGGGCCUUGCGCUAUCAGAUGAGCCUAGGUCGGAUUAGCUUGUUGGUGAGGUAAUGGCUCACCAAGGCGACGAUCCGUAACUGGUCUGAGAGGAUGAUCAGUCACACUGGAACUGAGACACGGUCCAGACUCCUACGGGAGGCAGCAGUGGGGAAUAUUGGACAAUGGGCGAAAGCCUGAUCCAGCCAUGCCGCGUGUGUGAAGAAGGUCUUCGGAUUGUAAAGCACUUUAAGUGGGAGGAAGGGUUGUAGAUUAAUACUCUGCAAUUUUGACGUUACCGACAGAAUAAGCACCGGCUAACU